rnacentral:lncRNA from 1 species
UCAUGAUAGUUCAGUCUCUUCUUGAAUGCUUACUACUCCAAUCAAAGCAGAUGGGUUUUUUUAAAUCUUUUGUUUUAAUGUUUAUUUAUUUUUAAGAGAGAGAGCAUGCACACACAUGAGUAGGGGGAGGAGAGAGAGGAGGACAGAGGAUUUGAAGUGGGCUCUAUGCUGACAUCAGAAAGCCCAAUGUGGGGCUCUAACUCACAAACUGAGAUCAUACCUGAGCUGAAGUCAGAAGCUUAACCAGCUGAGCCACCCAGGCACACCUGUUGUGCUGUGUUUUUAAUGAUUAGAGAAUUCUUCCUUUGUUUGAACUGUAAUCUGUCUUCCUGUGACUGCCAUGCCCUAAGUUUGUAUAAAUCACUAUAACACCUAUGUGUGAACACAUGCACAAUCUGUUCCCUGCUAUCAAAAUGUAAUAUGUGCAUACCCUUGAUUCAGCAAUUCCUAUAGAAAUACUAGCACAAUUAUAGAAAAUAAAGGUAUGUGAGGACGUUCACUGGGGCUUUGUAAUAAUGCUUUCCCUAGUUUGGGAACAGUUCAAGUAAAUAUAGAAGGAUCAUUUGACAGAGAUUCUGUAGAGGGCAUUCCUGCAUCGAGUAGGAGCUUCGAUUGAUAACCUCAAAAGUUUGUGUAGUUAUAAGCCUUUGGUGUGCUCAUUUACAGGAGGAGAGGAGAGCAGACCCUUCUGGUCUCCUGCUCCAUCUUCUCUACCUUUGUUGUUUCUGCUCAGCACAGGAACUCCAUGGAAAAGGGCAUCAGGAUAAGGAAUAUCCCAGAACAUGCUCUCAUCAAGCUAAUGUAGGACAUCAAGCAUCAUGAAAAAUUACUCUGGCAUGUGCAGAGGAUCUAAUAUCCCAGUUUUCAGUACCAAAGCCAGGUGCGCAACACUGUUCCCUUCCUCCCACGAGGCAUCCUGAAUAAGUUUUACUUCUUAAACGCGGAGGCGGCAAUAAGAACCCUUGAGCGUUUGCGGUCGGUUCCCAUGUAGUUUCCAAAUAUGUCCUCUAGGUGUCUCCAGUGACCAGUAUUGGUGGAGAUUUCCGCGUAAGGGGGCCAGCGGCGCCGGGACUAUUUCAGCUUGCAGGAACAAGUUCUGCAAUCACUUCUUUAGAGCAUUUUGAUGGUCUCGAAUGAAGUAUUUUGGAUUCCAUGUUUGUUUUUCGUGCAAUAAAUACUUCUAAAUAUUGAAAAAACUUUGUGCA